UAUUUUUCAGAGCACCGUAAUAUUCCAUUACAUUAAUGUGCCAUGAUGUUUUUUGCCAUCUGCUAAUAUUUGAUUUCAUAGGUUGUGUGUUGCUUUUUGGCUAUUCCAAGUAACUUUUUUUUUAAUGGAUGGUUAGGCAAUGAAGUCAACAAUCGUUUUUUAAGCACCUGCUGUGUUCCAGGGACUGUGCUUAGCACUAGGGUUACAAAAAGAGGCAAAAGACAGUCCUUGCCUUCCAGGAGCUCACAGUCCAAUGGGGGAGACAAUAAGCAAAGAAUCAUGUACAACACGCCAUAUGCAAGUUCUAGCCUCUGGGAUUAAGCAAAAUGGCCUCUCUUCCAUAUGACAACCUUCAAAUACUUGCAGACCGCUGUCAUGUCUCUGCUAAAAACUUCUCUUCUCCAGCCUAACCAUUUCCAGAUCCUUCGACUGAUCCUUAUACAUGGCCUAUAAUUCAGUUAUCACACCAUCCUGGUUGCCCCUACAAGUCACAUUUCAGUUUGUCUUGGACCUUCCUAAAAUGUGCCCCACCAAUGAUGCCCAUUUCCCCAUAGUCCUGGAAAUGAUUACGUGACAUGGGAGACUCUGGCAAAGGAUCGCCCAGCAUGGUGUAACUGCAUCAAAGAAGGUCCUGUGCAGUAUGAGCAAAGCAGAAUUGAAAUAGCUCAAAAGAAGUGCGAGAUGCAUGAAUUUAGAGAACCCACCCCAAAUAUUCACAUGGACUAUUUGUUCCUGACCUGUUGGUAGGCUUCUGAGCUCGU